rnacentral:rRNA from 1 species
GAUGAACGCUGGCGGCGUGCCUAAUACAUGCAAGUCGAGCGAACAGAUGAGGAGCUUGCUCCUCUGACGUUAGCGGCGGACGGGUGAGUAACACGUGGAUAACCUACCUAUAAGACUGGGAUAACUUCGGGAAACCGGAGCUAAUACCGGAUAAUAUAUUGAACCGCAUGGUUCAAUAGUGAAAGACGGUUUUGCUGUCACUUAUAGAUGGAUCCGCGCCGCAUUAGCUAGUUGGUAAGGUAACGGCUUACCAAGGCAACGAUGCGUAGCCGACCUGAGAGGGUGAUCGGCCACACUGGAACCGAGACACGGUCCAGACUCCUACGGGAGGCAGCAGUAGGGAAUCUUCCGCAAUGGGCGAAAGCCUGACGGGGCAACGCCGCGUGAGUGAUGAAGGUCUUCGGAUCGUAAAACUCUGUUAUUAGGGAAGAACAAAUGUGUAAGUAACUAUGCACGUCUUGACGGUACCUAAUCAGAAAGCCACGGCUAACUACGUG